GAUGAACGCUGGCGGCGUGCCUAACACAUGCAAGUCGAACGGUCCUGGAAGCUGGAAGCUGGCGACUGGAGACUAGCUUGCUAGCGACCAGUAACUAGCAACUGGCAACCAGGAUAGUGGCGAACGGGUGAGUAACACGUAGGUGACCUGCCCCGAAGAGGGGGAUAACCGCUGGAAACGGCGGCUAAUACCCCAGUAGUCGUGAGGGUUAGAGGCCUCAUGAUUAAAGCUCCGGCGCUUUGGGAGGGGCCUGCGGCUUAUCAGCUAGUUGGUGGGGUAAUGGCUCACCAAGGCAAUGACGGGUAGCUGGUCUGAGAGGACGAUCAGCCACAUGGGCACUGAGACACGGGCCCGACUCCUACGGGAGGCAGCAGUGAGGGAUCUUGCGCAAUGGGCGAAAGCCUGACGCAGCAACGCCGCGUGGGCGAUGAAGGCCUUCGGGUUGUAAAGCCCUUUUCUGGGGGAAGAGGAAGGACGGUACCCCAGGAAUAAGUCCCGGCUAACUACGUGCCAGCAGCCGCGGUAAAACGUAGGGGACAAGUGUUAUCCGGAUUCACUGGGCGUAAAGCGCGUGCAGGUGGUGCUUUAAGUUGGGCGUGAAAUCUCCCGGCUUAACUGGGAGGAGUCGUUCAAUACUGGAGCACUUGAGGGCAGGAGAGGGAGGUGGAAUUCCCGGUGUAGUGGUGAAAUGCGUAGAUAUCGGGAGGAACACCAGUGGCGAAGGCGGCCUCCUGGCCUGCUUCUGACACUAAGACGCGAAAGCUAGGGGAGCAAACGGGAUUAGAUACCCCGGUAGUCCUAGCUGUAAACGAUGGAUACUAGGUGUGGGUGGUAUUGACCCCAUCCGUGCCGAAGCUAACGCGAUAAGUAUCCCGCCUGGGGACACGGCCGCAAGGUU
rnacentral:rRNA from 1 species